UACGUAGGUGGCGAGCGUUGUUCGGAUUUAUUGGGCGUAAAGGGUCUGUAGGAGGUUUGCUAAGUGCGGGGUGAAAUCCGGGAGCUCAACUCCCGAACUGCCUUGCAGACUGGCAGACUAGAGUGCUGAAGAGGUAAGCGGAAUACCAAGUGUAGCGGUGGAAUGCGUAGAUAUUUGGUAGAACACCAACAGCGAAGGCAGCUUACUGGUCGGCAACUGACUCUCAGAGACGAAAGCGUGGGGAG
rnacentral:rRNA from 1 species